rnacentral:rRNA from 1 species
GACGAACGCUGGCGGCGUGCCUAAUACAUGCAAGUCGAACGCACAGUUUAUACCGUAGCUUGCUACACCAUAAACUGUGAGUUGCGAACGGGUGAGUAACGCGUAGGUAACCUGCCUGGUAGCGGGGGAUAACUAUUGGAAACGAUAGCUAAUACCGCAUAAUAUUGAUUAUUGCAUGAUAAUUGAUUGAAAGAUGCUAUUGCAUCACUACCAGAUGGACCUGCGUUGUAUUAGCUAGUAGGUGAGGUAACGGCUCACCUAGGCGACGAUACAUAGCCGACCUGAGAGGGUGAUCGGCCACACUGGGACUGAGACACGGCCCAGACUCCUACGGGGGGCAGCAGUAGGGAAUCUUCGGCAAUGGACGAAAGUCUGACCGAGCAACGCCGCGUGAGUGAAGAAGGUUUUCGGAUCGUAAAGCUCUGUUGUAAGAGAAGAACGGGUGUGAGAGUGGAAAGUUCACACUGUGACGGUAUCUUACCAGAAAGGGACGGCUAACUACGG